rnacentral:rRNA from 1 species
UACGAAGGGGGCUAGCGUUGCUCGGAAUUACUGGGCGUAAAGCGCACGUAGGCGGCUUUCUAAGUCGGGGGUGAAAUCCUGGAGCUCAACUCCAGAACUGCCUUCGAUACUGGGAAGCUCGAGUCCGGGAGAGGUGAGUGGAACUGCGAGUGUAGAGGUGAAAUUCGUAGAUAUCGGGAGGAACACCAGUGGCGAAGGCGGCGAUCUGGGAAGAUACUGACGCUGAGGUGCGAAAGCGUGGGGAGCAAACAGG